AACUGUCUAUACACGCUGGAAUCCCCAUCACGAUGCAAACCCUUCCUCCUCACGUAGCCGCCUCAGCUCCAUGUCCUUGCAGCAUCCGUGUUCCUCAUCUUUCCCAAUGCAUCUCUACCAUCACGUCUUCGACUUGAUCCGGUAGCCAUCGUCCUCCUAUCUUUCCUCGCUUCAGCUAUUGUUUCUGUCGCACCUUCUCAGGAUGUCUGCGGAUUCAAGUAGGGAGGUCCACACAAGCACAUGUGGCUUCUUCAAUAAGAUAGAUUUGGCAAGGAGGGUGCAUCGAAAACCAAGCAUCUAGCCUAGAGAAGACACAAGCUGCUUUGUUCUGGAGAUCAGGGACUCCAGAACCAAGCGUGCUUUUGUGCUCCAUGAGGAUGAGCACCAUCAUGACGUCUACACCGAGCCGCAGCACAAUGGUGGAAUGCUGGAGGUCUUGCAGUAGCGUGCCAACAUGUACCUUGGGAGCGACGUUGGCUGCACGUUCGGCGUUGCCAUCUUGGAGUCCACUACAGAAACCGAGGUACGACCAAGGGGCUAGGAGGGCAAGCCGGAUGGAUGGUAUUUCCAAAUCUUUCUCACUUAUCCUCGCUCUACAAGAAUUGGUAGUGUUUCCUUCCUGGCUGUAGUGAUGAACAGAUACUUCUUGGUGCAAUUUCCAAUCUAUAGUAACUAAUAUGUGCAUGUUAUAUGGAUCCCUAGCUUCCAUAAUAGUUUAUUUCUCUUUGUUCAGGAUUACUUCAUUCACACUUAACACCAUACCCGAAAAAUAAGUUCAGUUGAAAUUUGAAAUAUGGUGGUGGUAUACGACACAAAGAAUCAGACUGGUGCAUGUACAUUAUCUCUAGAUUUAAGCAAUACAGCCUUCCUUUCGAGAAUAUAUUGCAGAUAGUUUAAUUUUUAUGUUUGUUAUUGUGUCUUAUAUUACUAUGAUUAUAAAGUUAAUCUAAUAUCUACUUUUCUGCCAUGGUUUCGAUUUGUAGGUUUUAAAUAAAUACCUUACAUUGACAUUGAUCUUCGAAGUUAACGGGUGGCAACUUUGAGGAAAUAAUGUGUUUUUAAAUGGUUGUAGUUUACAUGAAAAUUGUCCUAUAUUUUACUGAAUAUACUUAUUGCUUACAUAUUCAUGUUUCCUUGCUUAUAUUUAGAUAAUUUUGUCUUCUGUUUGCGCUACAGUGUGAUUUGGUUUUGCAGUUUAGCUGGACAUAACGUGAUUCAGAACCCCAAUUUACCAAUGUGUUGCUGCAGUCACAACUGAAAUGAUCCAGCCAUAAGUUUUGGGUUAUUGUCUUCUUUUCUUGAUUAGAUCUUUUCUAACAGAAAUAGUUAUCAGUAUGUAUUAC